AGCUAAUACCGCAUAACGUCGCAAGACCAAAGAGGGGGACCUUCGGGCCUCUUGCCAUCGGAUGUGCCCAGAUGGGAUUAGCUAGUAGGUGGGGUAACGGCUCACCUAGGCGACGAUCCCUAGCUGGUCUGAGAGGAUGACCAGCCACACUGGAACUGAGACACGGUCCAGACUCCUACGGGAGGCAGCAGUGGGGAAUAUUGCACAAUGGGCGCAAGCCUGAUGCAGCCAUGCCGCGUGUAUGAAGAAGGCCUUCGGGUUGUAAAGUACUUUCAGCGGGGAGGAAGGGAGUAAAGUUAAUACCUUUGCUCAUUGACGUUACCCGCAGAAGAAGCACCGGCUAACUCCGUGCCAGCAGCCGCGGUAAUACGGAGGGUGCAAGCGUUAAUCGGAAUUACUGGGCGUAAAGCGCACGCAGGCGGUUU
rnacentral:rRNA from 1 species